UACGUAGGGGGCUAGCGUUGUCCGGAAUCAUUGGGCGUAAAGAGCGUGUAGGCGGCCCGGUAAGUCCGCUGUGAAAGUCGGGGGCUCAACCCUCGAAUGCCGGUGGAUACUGUCGGGCUAGAGUGCGGAAGAGGCGAGUGGAAUUCCCGGUGUAGCGGUGAAAUGCGCAGAUAUCGGGAGGAACACCAAUGGCGAAGGCAGCUUGCUGGGACGGUACUGACGCUGAGGCGCGAAAGCGUGGGGAGCGAACAGG
rnacentral:rRNA from 1 species